UACGUAGGGGGCAAGCGUUGUCCGGAAUCACUGGGCGUAAAGGGCUCGUAGGCGGCUCGGUAAGUAGGGGGUGAAAUCCUGCGGCUCAACCGCAGGGCUGCCUUCUAAACUGUCGAGCUCGAGCACGGUAGAGGCAGAUGGAAUUCCCGGUGUAGCGGUGGAAUGCGCAGAUAUCAGGAGGAACACCGAUGGCGAAGGCAGAUCUCUGGGCCAUUACUGACGCUGAGGAGCGAAAGCGUGGGGAGCGAACAGG
rnacentral:rRNA from 1 species